rnacentral:rRNA from 1 species
AACGAACGCUGGCGGCAUGCUUAACACAUGCAAGUCGAACGAGAAGUUCGGGUUUAGUGGCGAAGGGGUGGGUAAGGAGUGGGAAGUUGCACUUAGGUUAGGAAUAAUUGACUGAAAGGGGUGUUAAUAAAGGAUAAUGUAUUAGGAGAAAAGAUUUAUUGCCUUUGGAUGGGCCUGAGUUGGAUUAGCUAGUUGGUAGGGUAAAAGCCUACCAAGGCGACGAUCCAUAGCUGGUGUGAGAGGAUGAUCAACCACACUGGGACUGAGACACAGCCUACACUCCUACGAAAAACAGCAGUAUAGAAUAUUGUACAAUGAGCCAAAACCUGAUCCAGCAAUGCCACGUAAGUUAUCAAUACCUUAGUAUUAUAAAUCUCUUUUACCCUAAAUGAUAAUGACAGUACCAGGAAAAUAAGCUCCGGCUAACUCCGUG